rnacentral:lncRNA from 1 species
CGAGAAGUUGACACCAUGCGUUUCUUUGAAUGAUUCAGUGUCCUGUGCUCCAGUGAUCCUGAAUAGGAAAUGGUGUUUUGGGUUUCACCGUCAUUGUAACUGAAGCCAGCAGAGCCUCCGCAGAGCCACCGUCAGUGCUGCACAGUCUACCUUGUGCCCUGCACCCAGUUUUAUCCUGAAACCGGAGGGGAUCAGACUUGGCUGCUCAGCUGCGGUGCCCAAGAUGGCGGGACCAGGGGUGGCGCUGCGACUCCAUGAAUUUAAAGAGCGCGAAGGGAACAGACAAGCCCACGAAAUGACUGACAGCAUUCUUGGUCAGUGAAGCAAUAGAAACGUGAGCUUGUUGCGGUGCGGAACCCUCUUGAACCGGGUCUUGAGGAAAGGCUCGUCUUUGGACUGCAGGGUGAAGCGUCAAGGCAGGGACGUAGUCGGCCUGUACCCAGGACAACAGGCGAGGGUGCACAUCAUGCACUCUGAAAAUUCCAGAAUGAAUCUGACCUCCUUGGAGCAGAAUUGGUGCACCAGCCCAGACCAAAAGGAGAAUGUCUACCUAAAGUGUUUUGACCUCUUGACCUUGCAAAACCUGGAAGUCUUGCGCCAGGAUGGCAAAGCGUCCUCCCCCAAGCCCACAGCCUAUGAAGAGGAGUUCGGCCUCAUGUCUGAACACUUGUCUCCUGAUGACACCAAGUUCACCCUGAAUUCUCACCCUGAGCUCUGAACCCACAGAGAGAGAUUUUCAUACAAGAACACGCUGUACUCUGACGCAGCAUUGUGCCAGAUGACGUGACACAAAAUAAAUUCUGUCUUUUUGGCCCUGAUUCA